ACUCCUACGGGAGGCAGCAGUGGGGAAUUUUGCGCAAUGGGCGAAAGCCUGACGCAGCAACGCCGCGUGAGUGAUGAAGGCUUUCGGGUCGUAAAGCUCUGUCAGGGGGAAAGAAGUGUAGUGUGGUUAAUACCCAUGCUACUUGACGGUACCCCCAAAGGAAGCACCGGCUAACUCCGUGCCAGCAGCCGCGGUAAUACGGAGGGUGCAAGCGUUGUUCGGAAUUAUUGGGCGUAAAGCGCGUGUAGGCGGUUUGUUAAGUCUGAUGUGAAAGCCCCGGGCUCAACCCGGGAAGUGCAUUGGAAACUGGCAGACUUGAAUACGGGAGAGGGUAGUGGAAUUCCUAGUGUAGGAGUGAAAUCCGUAGAUAUUAGGAGGAACACCGGUGGCGAAGGCGGCUGCCUGGACCGAUAUUGACGCUGAGACGCGAAAGCGUGGGUAGCAAACAGGAUUAGAUACCCUGGUAGUCCACGCCGUAAACGAUGAGAACUAGGUGUUGCGGGUAA
rnacentral:rRNA from 1 species